AUGUGGUUGGCGGUCCACCGGAAGUGUCUCACGGCGGACAAUCUUGAGCGAAGGGGUUGGCCAUCCAACGGCAUUUGCCCGCUUUGUGCGCAGGAGCCGGAAAACUGCUCACAUUUGUUUGUAAAUUGCAGAUUUACACAACAGCUCUGGUGGAGCUUCAGAACCUGGACGGGGGCUAAUUUCCAGGUGCCCAGCGAGCAUUUUGGCACGACGGAAGACUGGUGGCUGAAGGCGAGGGCGGCAAUCCCGAAACCGUUACGGAGGAAUUUCGACACGAUCGCUAUCCUGAUACACUGGAGGAUAUGGAAGGAGAGAAACGCGAGAAUUUUUGAUAAUGUAGCCAACACCGUAGACAGGGUGCUGGAGUUAAUUAAGGAAGACAUUAGAAUGUGGCGGGCUGCAGGUUGCAUCUACGACCUGCCGGCAAACGCCUAA
rnacentral:rRNA from 1 species